rnacentral:lncRNA from 10 species
CAUGACCUUGCUUGCCUUUGAGAUAGCAACUGCUCUUUUGGAAUUCAUCAACAGAGGACUUUACAUUUGAAAGCCUUUUAAACUCCAAGACUGAACAACUGCCAGAGGGAUUUUGCUGCUGUGACCAGACACUUUCAGCUGGAGAGACACUUUCAGGUGGGGGUUUUCCUAGCUCUUCUGAGCCACAGUUGGUUGUCCAUGACUGGAUUUGUCCCUGAAUGUACACAGGUUGGCCUGAAACAAUAGGACCAUGAGUCACCCAAGAGUGGAUAGUGAGUGAAUCGGGUGUCCGUUAUCUCCAGGCAUCCAGGGGACAAAAUGAAAAGCCAUGUAGUCCAUCUGUCUCCGACAGAGAAGACAAAGCACCAACCUCUGUUCAGUCCUUUUACUCAAAAAUAUUUCUUCAGUGUCCCUCUACACACCUUGCCUCCAAGAAAAAAUAUGGGCAGCCUGGAAUAGUGGGUGGGACCUGGAAUCUGUGUCAAAUGUUGGCUGAGCUCCUCAAUGACGCAAACUUAGCUCCUUCCCGUUUCCUGGUGCUGCCCGACUCCAGAGAUGCUCUGGCGUCCCUCCUUACUGGUUGCCAUGCUGAGAUGAUGGGGAUCACGGGUGCUGACCAAUGUUAAAGAUAGGUAUGAGGUAAAAAGCAUUCAGGGAAGUCUUAAGUGUCUGCCAUUUCCACAUUUCCACCUAAGGAAGCAACCCCAGGGCGAUUCCUUGGCAUUGGUUGCCAGGCUGUGAGUGUUGGCUGAUCCUGGUGCCCUAGCCACCACUGGGGGACUCGUGAUUACCCAGUUACUCCCUGCAAAUGCUGGGUGGGACUAGAACCAACCACUUGCAGUGACAUUGAGAUUUAGAAUCAGAUAUUCCUGGUUCAAAUCCUGCCUCUACCUUGUACUAGCUGUGUGACUUUGGGAAAGUCAUUUAACCUAUCUAAUAUUUGUUUUCCUCACUUGGAAAAUGGAAAUAAUAAUAAG